rnacentral:rRNA from 2 species
AAAUUGAAGAGUUUGAUCAUGGCUCAGAUUGAACGCUGGCGGCAGGCCUAACACAUGCAAGUCGAACGGUAACAGGAAGCAGCUUGCUGCUUCGCUGACGAGUGGCGGACGGGUGAGUAAUGUCUGGGAAACUGCCUGAUGGAGGGGGAUAACUACUGGAAACGGUAGCUAAUACCGCAUAACGUCGCAAGACCAAAGAGGGGGACCUUCGGGCCUCUUGCCAUCGGAUGUGCCCAGAUGGGAUUAGCUUGUUGG